rnacentral:lncRNA from 1 species
UCAGCAGAUAUUUGGAGAAGCAGGGAAUAUGGUUAUCAUGGUGAUGGAUAAUGGAUGAAGGCGAGCUCCUAGUUCAUUUAAUUUUGUUAAUUUUCCUUAUUGCCUUCUCUAACGGAGACACUCAAUUUAGGAACGUUGUUUUGGAUUUUCUUUUUGAGGAAAUAGUUCAGCACUUGCUUUUCUCAGAGGAUGAGUUCUUAAUUGAUUAUUCAC